AAGAGGUUCGCACUGAGCGGGGCAGUGAUGUUAUCAUUGUACUAGUUGGGAAUAAAACAGACCUUGUAGACAAAAGGCAAGUUUCAAUAGAGGAAGGAGAAGCCAAAGCUCGUGAUCUCAAUGUCAUUUUUAUUGAAACUAGUGCAAAGGCUGGCUUCAAUAUAAAGGCACUGUUUCGGAAGAUUGCAGCAGCCUUACCAGGAAUGGAAACACUUUCUUCAACUAAGCAAGAGGACAUGGUGGAUGUAAAUCUGAAGUCUUCCAACGCUAAUCAAUCAGUGCCUCAGCAACAGUCUGGAGGAUGUGCCUGUUGAUACACAAAAUUGAGAUCUAAGCUUUGGCAUUUUGGCAUUUUCAUCGCAUCCUUUUGUGAUCCUAAACAUGUAAAGUUUGUGUCAUCCCCCUUGUAGCAUAUGGUAUUUGACUGUUGUUUGUUUGUUGAGAGGUUUAACUUGUCAGGAGGAAACUAUAUAGUAGUUAAGGCUAGUCCUAACCUUGUCUUGUACGUGUGGUUCACAAGGAACUCGAGUUAAGAAUUAUUAUGAAACAAACUAUAUACUAACAGAAGAUUUUCCACAAUUCUUAACUCGAGUUCCUUGUGAACCA
rnacentral:misc_RNA from 1 species